rnacentral:lncRNA from 1 species
UUGAGAAUACAGUUGUCAAUUCUAUAUAUAUUUAAGGUAAAGGAGGCUAUAAGCAAGAUGAAAAUAGGAAAGCAGUUGAACCUAAUGGAAUCCCUCUUGAGAUUUGAAAGUAUUUAGGUGAUAUAGGAUAUCUUGAUUUAUGGAUUUGUUUAAUAAGAUUUUAAAGACCAAGAAGAUACCUAAUAAAUGAAGGAAGAGUACUAUAGUAUCAAUUUAUAAUAAGAUCAUAUUCAAAAUUAUUUC